GAAGUAGAUAAAGGAUUACGAAGAUCCAUCUAACUGAAUGCAGUGUAUUCAAAAUUCAAAGGAGUUUCCUACCAAAUCAAUCGAAUUAGGGAAGAUGGGCAAUUGUGAUUCAUCGUCCCCAUUGAUUCUCUCAACAGUCAUCUUCUCCAAAUAU